UGGAAGACUAGUGGUUAGGCCUCUGUGCUCUCACUGCCGCGGCCCGGGUUCGAUUCUCGUGCACUCCAA